GUGCUGGCUUCAGCAGCACAUGUACUAAAAUUGGAAUGACACAGAGAAGAUUAGCAUGGCCCUUGCACAAGGAUGACAUGCAAAUUCGUGAAGCUUCCAUAUGUAAA
ensembl:snRNA U6 U6 spliceosomal RNA